rnacentral:rRNA from 1 species
UACGGGGGGGGCAAGCGUUGUUCGGAAUUACUGGGCGUAAAGUGUGCGCAGGUGGCUGAGCAAGUCGAGUGUGAAAUCCCCGGGCUUAACUUGGGAAUUGCGCUCGAAACUACUUGGCUCGAGUGUGGCAGAGGAAGGUGGAAUUCCAGGUGUAGCGGUGAAAUGCGUAGAGAUCUGGAGGAACACCGAUGGCGAAGGCAGCCUUCUGGGCCAACACUGACGCUCAUGCACGAAAGCGUGGGGAGCAAACAGG